CCUACGGGAGGCAGCAGUGAGGAAUAUUGGUCAAUGGACGCAAGUCUGAACCAGCCAUGCCGCGUGCAGGAAGACGGCUCUAUGAGUUGUAAACUGCUUUUGUACGAGGGUAAACGCAGAUACGCGUAUCUGUCUGAAAGUAUCGUACGAAUAAGGAUCGGCUAACUCCGUGCCAGCAGCCGCGGUAAUACGGAGGAUUCAAGCGUUAUCCGGAUUUAUUGGGUUUAAAGGGUGCGUAGGCGGUCGGAUAAGUUAGAGGUGAAAUCCCGAGGCUCAACUUCGGAAUUGCCUCUGAUACUGUUCGGCGAGAGAGUAGUUGUGGUAGGCGGAAUGUAUGGUGUAGCGGUGAAAUGCUUAGAGAUCAUACAGAACACCGAUUGCGAAGGCAGCUUACCAAGCUACUUCUGACGUUGAGGCACGAAAGCGUGGGGAGCAAACAGGAUUAGAUACCCGAGUAGUC
rnacentral:rRNA from 1 species